rnacentral:misc_RNA from 1 species
ACUUGUCUUCAGUUUCAUAAGCUUCUUUUAGUUUACGGUGGUAAGCACUUGCUAGAUCAGGGGAUUCAGCCAUUCGAGCAAUCACCACACGCCUUAUGAAUUUGGAAACAGCAAGGCGGUAUUUCGAGAAAGUGUGAAAAACUUGGGGUUCCACUCUUGUAUCUUCUGCAUCCAUUCAACAACUUCUCUGUUACUAAAGGAAUUCUCAUCAGCACCUGCUGAGACAACUGCAAUUCUUUCAAUGUACUGGAUCAUCUCAAUGGUGUCAAAAAUGAUGUGGGCGCCAUUCUGGAAAACAGGGAGCUUUCCACUUGGAUUUUUCGUGAAGAAUGAGGAAUCCAUAUUCUUUC